ensembl:lncRNA
UUUUUUUUUUUUUUUUUUUUUGAGAUGGAGUCUUGCUCUGUUGCCCAGGCUGGAGUGCAAUGGCAUGAUCUCCGCUCACUGCAACCACUGCCUCCCAGGUUCAAAUGAUUCUCCCACCUCAGCCUCCUGAGUAGCUGGGAUUACAGAUGCCCACCACCAUGCCCAGCUAAUUUUUGUACUUUUAGUAGAGAUGGGGGGGUUCGCCAUGUUGGCCAGGCUGGUCUCGAACUCCUGACCUCAGGUGAUCCAUGUGCCUCAGCCACCCAAAGUGCUGGGAUUACAGGCAUGAGCCACCGCGCUGGACCCCUUGGCCUUUCUUUUUCAGACAUUGGAAAUGGGACACGUUAGCCCUGUCUGCUCAGAGGGAAACUCCAAAGUGAGCCCAGAGCAGAUGUGGGAGUGGAUUUGGCCUCCUCAGGACCCCUCCAGCUGGGUGGAAAGGGUCUCGCCAGUCAGCUCCCCCAGGACAGCGUCUGAGUGCAGGUGGACCCUGGUGACUGGCCCCACGACAGCCGAGGCUCCGGAAACCACAGCACGUCUGCAGCUGCAGGGUCUUGUUUUGUGGGAAGGGGAAAAGCAAAGCUGCUCUGAGGGAAUGCUAAAAAUGUGCUCAGCAGAGAGACUCCGGGCUGGGAGAGGAAGGUGAGGCGGGAGCCUGUAAACAAAAGGCCACGGUCCUGAGAAAUCCAGGAAGGGCUGGUCGGAGGUGGGGCGCGAACAGCACUGGCUGCAGCCUGUGCCAGACCAGCCAGGCACCCUGUUUACAGUACUGGUCACACCGGGGCAACCAGAACCAGGGCCUGCUGAAUUCUUUACCUCCUAGGUGACUGAACGGAGCCAGGAGGAGCCGAUCUGGUCCCCUUGGCCUUCGUGCCAGCUGGCCUCUCCCGAGGUUAAUAAUUCAGGCCUCUCCAGCCAGUGGGCCCAGGGCCUGCGUCAGGGCUGUGAACUGUGGUUUCUGUUUCCCUGGCUGCCUCCCCACACUCUGAGCUUAUCUAGGCCGACAGUGCUGCCAACGAGACGACCCUCCUCAGCCACCCACCAGCGGGGACAUCCUGCCUGACCUUCAGCCUGCCCCAGCCUGUUUCCCAUGCCCACAGGGAGGGCGGGUAUCCCCCAGCUCCUCUGGUUACUGUUCUCUGGCAGCCGCCCAAUCCCUGCCCUGGGCUGCUGGAUUCACACCUCACCGGGCACAGUUCAAGGAAGGGAAGCUCUCAUUGCCCUCCCUCCUCCAUGCCCUUCUCAUGCUUCGCUUGCAAUCCUGUGCCCCAGGUGCCUCUACUCCCAGACCUGGACUCACUGGUAAGUGGGGACCAGCAUGGCAGAGAGCAGGAAUACAGCUGCUCCUCUUGCUCCAGACCCCGAACUCUGUUCACAAUUGUCGAGAAAGCUCCAGACCACUAACAUGAUGGUAUGGGUAAGAACCUGGGUGACAGCUCUGUGGCCUGAGUGUCUGGACAGGGCAGAGAAGGAUCCUGGGAGACCUCAUUCCCCCUGGGUGGGUUCCUGGCAUUCCUGUCAUGGGCUUGAGCCAGAAAAAGUGACCAUUGAAAGAGCCUCCACCUCAGACACAGGCUAGGGCAGAUGGUCAGUUCAGCAACCCACCCUCCCUGGGUUCUGGGCUUCCCCCAGUACACCAGCUGGGGACAAGCAGGGUCUGAACAAAACAAGAGGAGGUCCCUGAUGGUGGAACUUCUCACGGGGAGCUGAAGUAGGGCUGC